CCUACGGGAGGCAGCAGUGAGGAAUAUUGGUCAAUGGGCGCAAGCCUGAACCAGCGAAGUAGCGUGAAGGAUGACUGCCCUAUGAGUUGUAACCUUCUUUUAUAUGGGCAUAAAGUGCGGUAUGUAUACAGAUAUCCCUGUACAUUAUGAAUAAGGCUCGGCUAACUCCGUGCCAGCAGCGGCGGUAAUACGGAGGAUCCGGGCGUUAUCCGGAUUUAUUGGGUGUAAAGGGAGCGUAGGCGGGUUGUUAAGUCAGUUGUGAAAGUUUGCGGCUCAACUGUCAAAUUGCAUUUGAAACUGGCAUCCUUGAGUACAGUAGAGGUAGGCGGAAUUCGUGGUGUAGCGGUGAAAUGCGUAGAUAUCACGAAGAACUCCGAUUGCGAAGGCAGCUUGCUGGACUUUAACUGACGCUGAUGCUCGAAAGUGUGGGUAUCAAACAGGAUUAGAUACCCCUGUAGUC
rnacentral:rRNA from 1 species